CAAACUUAUCUUUUGCCUUUUUCUAUUUUCUCGAAGCCUCACACUGAUUUUCUAAUUAUAUUUUCAGGAGUCUGAAUCUUGAACUUCCUGAGAAGAGCUCCUGGGCUUCAGCGUUCUUACCAGGUCUCUUUGCAAGGAAAUAGACCAGUGGCUGCAAUCAAC
rnacentral:lncRNA from 1 species